AUGUAAUUUGGUGUGAUUUCUAUUAAAUUAUUAACUAUGAAAAAAAGAAAAAAAAAUAAAAUUAACGAUUUAUGACUCAAUAAUUAAUUUCGAAAAUCAUAAAUUUAAAAUCGAAAACUAAAAAUAAAGAAAGAAAUGAAUUAAUUAAUAAAACAAGUCAAAUGGGUUUAAUUAAAAUAAUAAAUAAUUUCCUCAGAUUGUGUUUGGGGAUGUGGGUGGUGUAUAACGCAAAGACUUAGGAUUGUGUAUAUUAAUAAUAUUAUUAUUGGUGAAAGAAAGGGACGUAAUAGGAUAAUUAAAA
rnacentral:misc_RNA from 1 species